rnacentral:rRNA from 1 species
ACGGAGAGUUUGAUCCUGGCUCAGGAUGAACGCUGGCGGCGUGCUUAACACAUGCAAGUCGAACGGAAAGGCCCUUCGGGGUACUCGAGUGGCGAACGGGUGAGUAACACGUGAGUAACCUGCCCUUGACUUUGGGAUAACUUCAGGAAACUGGGGCUAAUACCGGAUAGGAGCUCCUGCUGCAUGGUGGGGGUUGGAAAGUUUCGGCGGUUGGGGAUGGACUCGCGGCUUAUCAGCUUGUUGGUGGGGUAGUGGCUUACCAAGGCUUUGACGGGUAGCCGGCCUGAGAGGGUGACCGGCCACACUGGGACUGAG